rnacentral:misc_RNA from 1 species
AAGACUAUAGACCUGCGGAGUACCUGCGGAGGGAUCAUUAUUGAAUAAGAAUGGUAGGCUGUAGCUGGCUUUUCGAAGCAUGUGCACGCCUGCUGUCUUAAUCUAUCCUCCUGUGCAUCUCUUGUAGUCUUAUAGGCAGAGUGACCAUGGAACCUCUUCCCAGAGGUCUCUGUGGACAAUAGCUAUGCUUGCGGGUCUAUGUCUUUCAUAUACCUUGUAGUAUGUUACAGAAUGUAAUGG